rnacentral:rRNA from 1 species
UACGGGGGGGGGCAAGCGUUGUUCGGAAUUACUGGGCGUAAAGGGCUCGUAGGCGGCCAACUAAGUCGGAUGUGAAAUCCCCAGGCUUAACCUGGGAACUGCAUCCGAUACUGGAUGGCUUGAAUCCGGGAGAGGGAUGCAGAAUUCCUGGUGUAGCGGUGAAAUGCGCAGAUAUCAGGAGGAACACCGGUGGCGAAGGCGGGUCUCUGGGCCGAUACUGACGCUGAGGAGCGAAAGCGUGGGGAGCAAACAGG